rnacentral:rRNA from 1 species
UGUGAUUCGUCACACUAUCAUUAACUGAAUCCAUAGGUUAAUGAGGCGAACCGGGGGAACUGAAACAUCUAAGUACCCCGAGGAAAAGAAAUCAACCGAGAUUCCCCCAGUAGCGGCGAGCGAACGGGGAGCAGCCCAGAGCCUGAAUCAGUGUGUGUGUUAGUGGAAGCGUCUGGAAAGGCGUGCGAUACAGGGUGACAGCCCCGUACACAAAAAUGCACAUACUGUGAGCUCGAUGAGUAGGGCGGGACACGUGGUAUCCUGUCUGAAUAUGGGGGGACCAUCCUCCAAGGCUAAAUACUCCUGACUGACCGAUAGUGAACCAGUACCGUGAGGGAAAGGCGAAAAGAACCCCGGCGAGGGGAGUGAAAAAGAACCUGAAACCGUGUACGUACAAGCAGUGGGAGCACGCUUAGGCGUGUGACUGCGUACCUUUUGUAUAAUGGGUCAGCGACUUAUAUUCUGUAGCAAGGUUAACCGAAUAGGGGAGCCGAAGGGAAACCGAGUCUUAACUGGGCGUUAAGUUGCAGGGUAUAGACCCGAAACCCGGUGAUCUAGCCAUGGGCAGGUUGAAGGUUGGGUAACACUAACUGGAGGACCGAACCGACUAAUGUUGAAAAAUUAGCGGAUGACUUGUGGCUGGGGGUGAAAGGCCAAUCAAACCGGGAGAUAGCUGGUUCUCCCCGAAAGCUAUUUAGGUAGCGCCUCGUGAAUUCAUCUCCGGGGGUAGAGCACUGUUUCGGCAAGGGGGUCAUCCCGACUUACCAACCCGAUGCAAACUGCGAAUACCGGAGAAUGUUAUCACGGGAGACACACGGCGGGUGCUAACGUCCG